AAACCGUUACUCAGUUCAGAUUGCAGGCUGCAGCCCGCCUGCAUGAAGUCGGAAUUGCUAGUAAUCGCGGAUCAGCGUGCCGCGGUGAAUACGUUCCCGGGCCUUGUACACACCGCCCGUCACACCAUGGGAGCCGGUAAUACCCGAAGUCAGUAGUCCAACCUCGUGAGGACGCUGCCGAAGGUAGGAUUGGCGACUGGGGUGAAGUCGUAACAAGGUACC
rnacentral:rRNA from 1 species